GCCCUGGUAGCUUAAUGACUUAGAGUACCGGCCUUGUAAGCCGGAGGGUGGGGGUUAAAGUCCCUCCUAGAGGCA
rnacentral:tRNA from 1 species